GGAUCGAUACCACAAAAAUAUCGAAACAUUGAUAUCGAUACCCAACCCAAUGCAUUUCUACGAUUCUGGCUUUAACCCAAAGAAGGGCAAAACUAAGAGUUGGCGACUCGAAUCGAAUAGUACUAACUUAAAGAUUCGUAUUCAUACUAAAUCUAAAUCAUACAUGACGAACUAUUGUACCACCAUCUAUGGCCACUACUUAAAGAUUUACAUGUCAUUAGUGUUGUGCGUGGUCAAUUCACCCGAAUACCGACCACCUCAAAAUAGGUCCAAUAUUUAAUGUUGCAAGUAAAAAAAAACGUCAAACGAAAAUGUCAACUAUAUGUACAUCAACUAUCUGGAUGCAUCUUAUGAAAAAUUAAAAUUCCAAAUCCAUAGUGAAACUAUAAUUUCGAGCAUGAGGGUGAUCAAACAUUAGAAAUGUGAGGACUAUUUACUACAUGGGUCACAGAAGUAGAGAGGAGAUACACACAUAAGGAGAUCUAUUUUUUUACUGCAGAAAAGAACACUGGUGAUAUAUAUUGCUUUUGAGCAAGACCACCGUCAUUUUGACAGAGAACGCGGUUAAUAUUGGAGCUGCUUGGGCUAAAUUGAAAAUAAGGAUACAAGCAGGUAAACCCACUACAGUAUCCACUCAUAAAUAUAGAAGCAAAUAUAAACUUGCAAACACUAAAGUUAAAUACAUCCCCUGCAUCAAACAUGGACAAUCCACUUUAUUAUUCAACAGUUUAUGCAAAAAUAAAAGGUCUGAAAUUUUUCUUCUGUUGUCAAGAGAGCUGGCAGUCCUCGUGUGAUUUUAUAGGUCUAAAGAAUUUAAGAUCAUCUGCAUAAAGCAAAAACUCCGAGUGUUUAAAACAUUUAAAUAUAUCAUUUAUAAAUAUUAUGAAAAAAAGGGGGCCCAAAUGAGAUCCUUGGGGCACCCCCGACGUUACAUUAACUAUUUCGGAGUUUACGCGGUUUAUGCAGACUGUGAACCUUCGAUUUGAGAGGUAAGAUUUAACCCAUUUUAAAAGAAAACCACCCACCCCUACCAAAGCUAGUUUUUUUAGCAAAAUUGAAAUGUUAAUUUUAUCGGCCUUGCUGAAGUCCGUGUAGACGCUAUCAACCUGAAUACGUUUGUCCAUAUUUUUCUUUAAAAAUUCAAGAUAGGUGAGAAGAUUGCUGUCCACAGAACAGUUUG